UUGAAAGACUUCACAGCAAAUGUCCGUUGCUUGGUCAUUCUGUUCCCUUUGCUGAUGGUCAGCGGCAUUACUGCUUCCUCCACAGUUUCCAGAGGUUUCAGAGGCAAAGGUGGUGAAUGAAUCAUUGAUCUGUACCAACAGCAAUGCCUGAAAAAGGCCAACCACUAUUAUUGCCCUUUGUUUAGGUGAAAGUGUUGAUCAUAUGGAGCUGUGGAUACUUACAGAGGCAGAAAUGCUAGCUAAUCUCUAUCUGCUGAGAGAAAGAACCACAUGACUGACUGCCAUUUUUGCAUAGCAAUUCUACUUGUAAAUAAAUGCCUGAUU
rnacentral:lncRNA from 1 species